AAUGAAAGCAAGCUAGAGAAGCCUGUCCUCUGAGUGACUCACUGACUGGCUGUUGUGGUAUGGACUCACUGACUGGCUGUUGUGGUAGGGACUCACUGAUUGCCUGUGUGGUAUGGACUCACUGAUUGGCUGUUGUGGUAUGGACUCACUGAUUGGCUGUUGUGGUAGGGACUCACUGAUUGCCUGUGUGGUAUGGACUCACUGAUUGGCUGUUGUGGUAGGGACUCACUGAUUGCCUGUGUGGUAUGGACUCACUGACUGGCUGUUGUGGUAGGUUUAAUGCCGUCAUCUGUGAUGCGAGUGAGGAAUUAGAGGAGAGUCUGCUGCUGAAGGAGGGAAUCCGCUGCCUGCAGGAGGCAAACAGGUGCCCAGACCGCAUCAUCAGACUUAAAGGGUUGCGCUGCUGUAAAGCCACUGAGCCGUGCACUCAGCUCAAGGACAGGACCCUGAGCUGCAACCAGCUGGUCACCAUUCGGAUGAAGGGAGAGUCUUACACGGAGAGACAAUCCGACUGGACAGAAGCGGAUAAAGAGGAGAUGAAGAAAGAGGGGAUGCAGAGAGAGGAGAUAAAGGAAGAGGGGGUGGAGAGAGAUGACAUGUCACUGGUGUGUUUAGUAGUUAUGAUGGCAUUUGUAGUAAUUACUGUGUCAUUAAUUGUGUCCAGGCGUGUUAAGUGACUCACCUGGGCCCACUGUCAUGGUUUCUUUAUGUAUUCAAAAACCCUGACAUGUUUAGUGACUUUUCCCUUUGUCUUUGGUCUGCCUGGAGGUACCCUGACAUGUUUAGUGACUCCCCUGUGCCCAGGCCCAUGAUGUCAUGAUGUGUUCAUGUAUUUGACCCACCUGUGGCCAGAGCCAAGUCUUUAUGUACUUAACCUACUGUACAUGCCCACCAAGUUGUGUGUCAUGUACUGGAUGGCAUACAGUACCCUCCAUAAGUAUUGCAACACAUGCUAAAGUUGACUAUAAAGAGGAUUAUAACAUCUUUCGGAAAUUGAUCUUAAUGCCUAAAUAAAAAAAAUGAGGAAAUUUCCAACAUUUAAGGACAUCAGUUUUCUUUUGUGAAUGAAUAAUGUAUCAAAUGAAUGUUUUCCUAAACACAGGGGUCAUAAUUAUGAAUGUCUAUGUUAACCCUAUGUCUUAAAAUUCCCAUAGAGGCAGUGAGAUUUGAAUUUUUUUGUUUUCUAAAUGCUAUUUCAUGGAUCCAGGACUAUGUUCCCUCGGCCUCCAUACCUGGAGAUUGGCAUGGUUUUAUUUCAGUAUAGCCUAUUAGCUGUUUUAAUUCUCACUGAGCUCAAUGCAAAUCAAACAUUUGUAACUUUGUAACUCGUCUGUGUAACUCAAGUGUGGUUUGUGGUAAGGUCCUGAUAACUCAGGUCACACGUUUAAACUAUUGCUCUUUUAUGCUUUCGUAUUACCUUGCAUGUUUUAUAUUUUCUUUUCUUUAUUAUUCUUCAGUUUUUAAACUUUUCUUUGACAA